rnacentral:rRNA from 1 species
ACGGGUGAGUAACGCGUGGGAACAUACCCUCCGGUUCGGAAUAGCUCAGGGAAACUUGGAUUAAUACCGGAUACGGCUGAGAGGCGAAAGAUUUAUCGCCGGAGGAUUGGCCCGCGUUCGAUUAGCUUGUUGGUGAGGUAACGGCUCACCAAGGCGAUGAUCGAUAGCUGGUCUGAGAGGAUGAUCAGCCACAUUGGGACUGAGACACGGCCCAAACUCCUACGGGAGGCAGCAGUGGGGAAUAUUGGACAAUGGGCGCAAGCCUGAUCCAGCCAUGCCGCGUGAGUGAUGACGGCCUUAGGGUUGUAAAGCUCUUUCGCUCGGGACGAUAAUGACGGUACCGAGAUAAGAAGCCCCGGCUAACUUCGUGCCAGCAGCCGCGG